GUUGUGAAACUACUAUUUGCUUGGAAAACACUCUGAGAGCAGCCCGGGUGAAGGUGCCCGUGGCUCGGAUGACGCUGCUGUAUUCAGUCCAGGCCAGGGAGGGCCAGGCCAACUCGUCAUCCGGUGACCGCCUCAGCUGCCCGAGGGACAGGAGGGACGCCCGCCUCCGCUGUGUCGCCAGGCCCGGUGUCGCCAAGCCUGCUGGCUGUGCUGUGGUCCCAGAAUAUACCCACGAGCUUCUGCCUACACACACACCGGCGUCAUCUGGAGGUGUUAUCCCACGAGAGGCACCAAAGCACAUUUGCAACCGGAAAAGCGGUCAGUGGCCAGAGCAAGCCUAUCUGGGCCAUCAGACCCUCGUCCAUGUUCAAGGGAGAAGGAUGCUGAGCAAGACGAGGCAAGGUGAGCACACCUAGGGAAACCUAAUCACACUAAACUUCCAGCUCAGGGCACAAAUCUCCUGGCAUUUCACUUAACUGUAGUUGCUUUCUUUUUUUUUUUCUUUUUCAACCCUGUAAAUCAAAAUCAAUUUGGCUUAGAACUCCACAAAUUGCUUUCUUUCCAAAGAGAGGCAUUUUACUAAAAUAGGAGACUUUGCCAGCCGUUGUGUGUUUGGUACCUGGGAUCAAGGAGCAAGUGGAAUUUCGUAAGAACGUUCCCCCAGGAGUCUGGGCUCUUGAUGCUCAUCACACCCUGACGCUGAGCUGCUGUGAACCUCCGAGGCGCUAGCUUCUGUGCUCAGCUGCAUCCGGCUCUUGUGACCCCAUAGACUGUAACCCGCCAGGCUCCUCUGUCCAUGGGAUUCUCCAGGCAUGAAUACUGGAGUGGGUUGCCAUGCUCUCUUCCAGGGGGUCUUCCCCACUCGGGGAUCGAACCCAGCUCUCCUGCAUUGCAGGCAGAUUCUUCACCGUCUGAGCCUGUUCUAUGAAAACAGGAGAUACAGUUAGAUCCACAGUUUUCAAAACUCACUCCUCAGCACUAACAGAAGGAGAUCAAUUUGGUGGGACUUUGGUUACCAUCUCCUUUACCAGAACAACUCGGCCUCUGUCCAUUUUUUUCAUCGUUGGCUGCUAGGCAAGAUCUUACAGACAAGCAAAAGUUAGGAGAAUUCAGCACCACUAAAUCAACUUUACAACAAAUGCUAAAGGAACUUCUCUAAGCAGGAAACACAAGAGAAGGAAAAAAAAAAAAACUACACAAAAUAAACCAAAACAUUUAAGGAAAUGGUAAUAGGAU
rnacentral:lncRNA from 1 species